rnacentral:rRNA from 1 species
AGAGUUUGAUCCUGGCUCAGAACGAACGCUGGCGGCAGGCUUAACACAUGCAAGUCGAACGGCUGUAGCAAUACAGCAGUGGCAGACGGGUGAGUAACACGUGGGAACCUUCCUAGAGGUACGGAACAACUCAGGGAAACUUGAGCUAAUACCGUAUACGCUCUUGCGAGGAAAGAUUUAUCGCCUUUAGACGGGCCCGCGUCGGAUUAGCUAGUUGGUGGGGUAACGGCUCACCAAGGCGACGAUCCGUAGCUGAUCUGAGAGGAUGAUCAGCCACACUGGGACUGAGACACGGCCCAGACUCCUACGGGAGGCAGCAGUGGGGAAUCUUGGACAAUGGGCGCAAGCCUGAUCCAGCCAUGCCGCGUGAGUGAAGAAGGCCUUCGGGUUGUAAAGCUCUUUUGUCAGGGACGAUAAUGACGGUACC